rnacentral:rRNA from 1 species
UAAUACCAGCACCCCGAGUGGUCGGGACGUUUAUUGGGCCUAAAGCAUCCGUAGCCGGUUCUACAAGUCUUCCGUUAAAUCCACCUGCUUAACAGAUGGGCUGCGGAAGAUACUAUAGAGCUAGGAGGCGGGAGAGGCAAGCGGUACUCGAUGGGUAGGGGUAAAAUCCUCUGAUCCACCGAAGACCACCAGUGGCGAAGGCGG